GUACUGAUGAAGAGUCCCACACUAGUACGGGGGAAACAACUGUCCAGUAC
rfam:Trichobilharzia regenti genome assembly, scaffold: TRE_scaffold0011232